rnacentral:lncRNA from 1 species
CAGUGUAUGAUCUCAUCACCUCUCCUGUGCACUGCAAGAAAGCAGAUCUCACACUGAAAUCAUCCUCUCCUAACACAGGCUGUCUCCCCACGUGGUUGCUGUCAGGCUACUGAGGACGAAAACCCCAGCAUAUCCUCUGCUGCCCUGGCUGCUGCUGCAGCUGCAAUGCCAUCUACCCAGGAACAGCAGAGAUUCGAACUGCAUCUGGAACCAGGGCUGCACAGAACAUUUCACACCACUAGAGGGAAACCCAGCCUCUGUCUAGAGCAAAACCUCCAGUACACCGGGAAGCAGAAAGGCAGACGGGCAUGUUCAGCUGCAGGUGAGACAACCGAACCGCUAAAGCACAGGACCACAAUGGUGUUUUGUGGCAAGAGACUUCAAAGAACGAACCACAGGCAGGGUACAAUGCCACCGCACUGACUUGAAUGUGCCUAAAGUGACUUUUGUAGGGUUAACACCUGAAACUGAAUUUCACCCUCCUCCCCCCAAAAAAGGUUUUCUUUCUUGCCUUCACAAGGCAACAGGGAAAACAUUGCUAGCAAUGUACCUGACCACAGGUCGGGGUGCUGCAGCUGCAAGGGUCCUGCCGCAGGCUGGGGGGGGGCUGCCGCCCGCCCACCCACGGGACCUUGCUUUGGGCUGCAGCAGGAGCAGCUAUCAGUCGGGCAGAGACAAGAGACACAAGCAGACAGGCUGCGUGCUGCUGUGCUGCCAAGACAAGGGCUAGCUUGCCCAUAGCAGCCCUGCCAGGCUCAAUAUGAAGGCACACUUUCAGCUCCCAGCCCAUCCAGUGCUCUCACGCCCAUUUGUCAAGGGCUGUAAAAUGAGGUUUCAGUAUUAUAGCCUAUACUAGCUCAUAGCCUAAUGGCACAGUUCUCAGCUGAAAGCAUUCAUGUGAAUUAUUAAAAGUGCCUUUGGCAUUUUUACUAUCCAGGAUUAUACAGCUCUCAGCUUUGUAAACCAGUGACCCCUGCUGACAACAGCCCUGUGGCAGCACCAGUGCUCAUCACAAGCUGCAUACACCGAGUAUAACCUUUCUUUUCCUAAACACUAAUCCUAGCUCUAGUUCUAACCCUGGCCCUUCCUCAACAGCAGGGAAUAUCAUUCAUAAAUUGACACCUGGAUUAAAUAAAACAAAUUGUAACUUCUUGUUUUAUCA